UUAUCUUGCAGGUAAUAAGACUGACAAGAAAGCAUCUUCUAAGCAGAUUCCAAAGGAUCAACCGAAAAAAGAUGACCAGAAAGCAAAUGAGAACAAAAAGCAAGGAGGACAGCCAAAGGGAGAGAAGCAGUAAUUUUCAAACCAUUGUGAAGAUGGCCCUGGAAACAGUGUUUGGGUCUUGCAGGUACAAACGUGGCAGCAAACAAACCUGACAAGAACUGUAAUCAGCCAUCCACAAUACCACGGGUACAUUUUGGAGAUGC